rnacentral:rRNA from 1 species
AUGGUUGUCGUCAGCUCGUGCCGUGAGGUGCCGGGUUAAGUCCCGCAACGAGCGCAACCCUUGCCUUUAGUUGCCAGCAGUUCGGCUGGGCACUCUAAAGGGACUGCCGGUGUUAAACCGGAGGAAGGUGGGGAUGACGUCAAGUCCUCAUGGCCUUUAUGACCAGGGCUACACACGUACUACAAUGGCCGAUACAAAGGGCAGCGACACUGCGAGGUGAAGCCAAUCCCGUAAAAUCGGUCUCAGUCCGGAUUGGAGUCUGCAACUCGACUCCAUGAAGUUGGAAUCGCUAGUAAUCGUGGAUCAGCAUGCCACGGUGAAUACGUUCCCGGGCCUU